UUACCUGGGUUAGGAGAAACGAAAGCAUGGGCUCAGGAGCAUACAUAUACACACAUGGGAGUAUAGCUUAAAACACGAGAGCCACCUUGAGCCAAAUUGUUGCCCUUGAUAGCCCUGGCAGUAGAGGAGAUAAAAACUGGAUAUAAAAUCAGCCUGUCUAAAACAUUUCCAAUAUACAGAGGAGGGGAGGCUGCAUCCUUAGAUAUAGCCCCAAGAGCAGGCAGUGACUGGACAUGCUUACUGCUGGCUUUAUAAGGUAAUGAGGUACAGACCCCAUUCACUCCAGAAUCUAAAGCUCCAACUUGCCCAAGGCUGGAAAACAAAAACAAACAAAAAGUAACCAAAAACAAAACAAAAAACCUCUUCCAGUAGUUUUCAUCAAGUGACAUUUUUCCCCUCUCAAAAUUAGGAAAGCAGCAGCUGUCACUGCACUCCCAGAGACGAUUCAGAGGACAAUUAUAUGCACACAGCACUGGUGAGAGGAGGGACCUCUGAAGGAAUGGAAACUGAAGCGGAGAGACAGCCUUUUACAUUCAGACUAUAGAAGAUGUAAUCUAUAUGUCCUAGGUCCAAACAAUUUAGAGGAAACCAGAAUUAAGUAUCAAAUAUCCUCAGAAGCAGACCAAGGAAACAAGAAGAAAUGGGACCCUGCCUGCCAAGGAAGCACCUUCAACUCUAAACCACUCUCUGGUAAGCAGCACCACUGAGUCAUAGCUGGGCUGAGGCUCCAGCCUGCAAGACUGAGAAGGAUGGGGCCGAGCAGCCCCAGCGUUUCUUAGAGGACUCAGGUAACCUUGUCUUCAUUGGUAAUCAGUAAAGAGGAAUCUUCCAAACUCUCUACCCUUUCUUCAGUGGCUCAAAACCCUUGUUUAAACAAAUGGUGUUUAACUCUCUCCAAAUGCUGGAAGGGAAGAAAUAUGGUCAUUGAGAUAUAUCCUGAGAGCAGACCAUUCCUCAGUCCUUGAUUUGUGUGAUUCUUUCUUGACCAUUAAUACGGAGUGUGCUUGAGAAACUCAAAGGCCAGGCGGACAACAAUGUAACCACAUUACCUAGCAGGCUACUCAGCUGUUCUCUCCAAGAAAUAUAUAAAUUAUUACAUCUGCUUUCCAUUCUACACACACCGGUACAUUAGCUGUACUUGUACCCACUUAACAACAGGCAUGGCACUCUAUCCCUAAAUACAGCAUGCAUCUGUUAAGUACCAGAAUAUUCUCUUAAACUGUACAUUAACUAAGUUUAGUAUUCAAUACUAUGUUAUCUAACUUACAAACCUUACUCGUAUCUCCCCAAAUAUUCAAACUGUUUCUCUAAAGUAAAUGUACAUCUAGCUUUUAUCUGCUGAUCCAGGAAUCAGCCAAGCUCACUGCUUACCUUAAAGGGACCAGGCCCAGAGACAUCUGCUUUUGACAUUGUAUAGAAGGUUUGUCCCAAACUAAUGUUUUCUUUUUUGGAAAAAGCCCAAGCUUAAGAAUUUUGCUCAGGCUAUAAAUUCUUCCAAAACCCUUUCUUCUUUUCAAUAAACUAUUCUUUAUAAGGGAAGAAGGAAGGAAUAAAGUAUUCCAUUCAAAAUCUCA